rnacentral:rRNA from 1 species
AGUGAACGCUGGCGGCAGGCCUAAUACAUGCAAGUCGAACGGCAGCACAGCAGAGCUUGCUCUGUGGGUGGCGAGUGGCGGACGGGUGAGGAAUACAUGGGAAUCUGCCCAGUCGUGGGGGAUAACGUAUGGAAACGUACGCUAAUACCGCAUGCGCCCUAAGGGGGAAAGCCGGGGACCGCAAGGCCUGGCGCGAUUGGAUGAGCCCAUGUUCGAUUAGCUAGUUGGCGGGGUAAAGGCCCACCAAGGCGACGAUCGAUAGCUGGUCUGAGAGGAUGAUCAGCCACACUGGAACUGAGACACGGUCCAGACUCCUACGGGAGGCAGCAGUAGGGAAUAUUGGACAAUGGGGGCAACCCUGAUCCAGCCAUGCCGCGUGAGUGAAGAAGGCCCUCGGGUUGUAAAGCUCUUUUGUCCGGAAAGAAAAGCAAUCGGUUAAUACCCGGUUGUCCUGACGGUACCGGAAGAAUAAGCACCGGCUAACUUCGUGCCAGC